rnacentral:rRNA from 1 species
UGUUUGAUCUCAAAUCAGGUAGGACUACCCGCUGAACUUAAGCA